UACGUAGGGUGCGAGCGUUAAUCGGAAUUACUGGGCGUAAAGGGUGCGCAGGCGGCGUCGCAAGUCAGGCGUGAAAUCCCCGGGCUUAACCUGGGAACUGCACUUGAAACUACGAUGCUGGAGUAUGGCAGAGGGAGGUGGAAUUCCACGUGUAGCGGUGAAAUUCGUAGAUAUUAGGAAGAACACCGGUGGCGAAGGCGGCCCACUGGAUCGGUACUGACGCUGAGGUGCGAAAGCGUGGGGAGCAAACAGG
rnacentral:rRNA from 1 species